ensembl:lincRNA
UGGCUAGCUUCAAACUUGGAAGCCUAGAAUAAGGGAGAAUAUAGUUUCUUGUAUACUCUUUCUUGCUGUUAUAGUACUCCUCUCCUGCUUGAUAGUUGCUGUUUCUUAUCUUUCUAGGGUUUGGCUGCAAGGAGAGGAGAUUAGGGAGAAACGACAUAGCCUUGGGUGGCCGAUGAAGUUGUAACCUAGCGUUGCUUCCCCAGCUGUGAUGGAUGCACCCUUGCUGUGCUCUUUCUCAUACUCCUCUGGCUGACUGCUUAGGUCAUUCCUCCAGUCAUGGGACUCAGAGGGUCCAAGCUUCAUCUGGGGUUAUAAGCACCUCCUGACUGCCUCUUAGUGUAAUGUCCAAGAUCUGUUUGUAUUUGUAAUCAGUGUAGCCCUGCCAUUAAGAUGUUAGUAGAUGUUCUUUGCUGGAACAAGAAACCAAGUAAACAGGAGCCAAUAGAAGUGCCUACCUAUAGCGUGCAAGGCAAUCUUCAAUUUAAAAUCCCUUCAUUUAAGAGCGAUUUGGAAAGAGAGAAAAGCCCUCUUGAUAUCUACUCUAUGCCAGAGGCAUGUCCAUCCAUAGACAUGGCUUCAUCUAAUUAUCAUCAUAAACCUAGAAGAGAACAUUAUUAUUCACAGUUGCCAGGUAUGGAAACUGAGGCUAAGGGAGGCUGAUACUCUUUAUAUAUGACUCUCCAAUCCUUCCUCUCCCAAUUCGUAGUUUACACUGCCUAAUUAUUCUUCCUAAAAUGUACCUCUGAUUAUUUCAUACUCUAGCAUCCUUUUCUUGUCUGGUAAAGGAAGUACAAACUCCUCUGUUGGCCUUUUAAGGUGUAGUCUUUGUCUGCUCUUCCAACUGUGCCUCAAACUUCUCACUGACACAAAGCUUUUCAGCUAUAUCCCAGGUUUCUGCCCUUUCUCUAGCAAUUCGGUCCUCUCUGACCCAUCUGUCUUGCCCUUUAGUCUUGCCCUUCUCACAGGGAUAUCUCAGCAUAUUCCGCAGAUCAGCACAUAGAUCACCUUCCUCACGAAACCUUUCUUCCACCUUUAAUAUGUGUGAAAACUAUUAUAAUUUUUGCAUUGAACUUUUAACUCUUAACACUGUUCAUUAAAGAUAAUAUUGAACAAUCUAGGCUCACACUGAAAAUCAUCAUCAAAAUGCAAUAUAAUAAUUAUCUUCAUGGGACACUGUACUAGACAUCAUGUAAGAAAAAUUCAAGAAAAGUGAC